UUGUAAGUGUUUCCUCUUCCAAACAGUCCACCUUAUUGACUUCUCAGCCAAUACUUUGCUCUAACUCGAAUACUGCCAACUUGUCCUUCAGCGCUUUUAGGGCAGUCUCUUCCUUCACCUUGUCAUUGCAUUCUUUAUUGAAAGCCAUCAGUCUGGCUUUGAAGGCUUGAAUGUCGGCCAUUUGCUUUCGUAACUCAAAAUCCAUUCAAGAUUCCUUGAUUAUUCUUUUGCCAAUCACUGGCUCUUCCAGGGCCACUAUAUUUGGCCUCAUCUGUUUGAACAUCUCAGUGAGUGCGUCCACUGAGAACGGUUCUUCGCUUUGCGCGACAACCUGAGUUUCUUCU
rnacentral:lncRNA from 1 species